GUCACCUGUUCCCUGGUCCUCUGAUUAGCUGCCCUAUUGUUUCUUGUCCACCUUUGUCUGUAUUUAAGUUUGCCUUCGUCCUUUGUUCCACGUGGUGUCGUUAUGUCUCUUUGGAUUUUGUUCUUGCUGCGCAUCCUGUUAAGUUCUGUUUUGAAGAUGCCUUGUAAUCAGGAUUAUCCUGUCAUCCAGAACCUCGCCUGCAUAAGGAUCUGGACAGAAGGAUCUCUAUGUCUCCUGAAUGCAGCUGUGCCGGCUCCAACCCUCCUCAGAGCUCCUGAGUCUGUUCCUAGCCUCCUCCUGCCACCAAAUAAGCUUUAGCAUAGGGCAACCUCCAUGCCCUUGUUUAAAGCAGUGGCAGCUUCCACACCUUCAUCUGCAGCAGCAGUUCCCUUGUCUGCAGAAACAGAGGUUCUCACAUCUGUUACUGUAACAGUAGCUCUCUGGACUGCUGUAUUUACUUUAGAGACUCCCAUCAUGCACCAUUCAGCUCCAUCAACAUCUCCAUUCUCUCCAUUUACUCCCCUGGAUCCGUCAUCAUCGCUGCCAUGUGCUGCUCCCGUUCAGUCUUCUUCAAAUCCAUUCCAAGGUGUUUGAGGACUUGCCAUCUACAGCCCUGGCCAGGUGAAUACGUCUUGUCAUCUGAUCCAAAGCUCUUUCAAGGGUUCCUCCAGCUUCCACAGCAUUCUCUAGUUCUCCUUUUGAAGAUUCCAUUGGUUCCACCACCAUUCUCCAGUGCUCCUCCUUGGGUUCAAGAGUCCCAUGGACCAGACUCCUGAGGUCCUCUGUGGGCUCCAGUCUCGCCAGACCUCCUUUGAUAUCGCCUGCCUCCUGACCUUAAUGCCUCCUCAGGUUGACCUCCAGGUCAUCCUUCUGAACUCAGGUUUUUGUUUCUUGUCCUCCUUCUGAGCCCCCCGUAGCCCAUCCUGUUUGGGUUGUUUUUUCCUUUUUGGACUCUGGUCUCUGGACUGUUGUAUCUGUCCUUAGCUAGGAGGGUCUGGUUUAUUUGGGUAGUACCUUCACCAUUUCCUUGUCAUUUAUGUCUUCUUAUAUUCUGUGUUCAUUACUUGGGGAAAAAAUUCCAGUAAACUAUUUUGAGAAGCUUGCUGAAGAAUACCCAAAAUGUUGGACCCAAGUAAAAGUAUUUAUAAAGAAAUUCUACCAAAUAUCAAUUAAAAUGAUGUUAACCCUG